rfam:Homo sapiens chromosome 1 genomic contig, GRCh38 reference assembly alternate locus group ALT_REF_LOCI_1.
GCCGGGCGUGGUGGUGCACACCUGUAGUCCCAGCUACUUGGGAGGCUGAGGUGGGAGGAUCGCUUGUGCCCAGGAGGCCGAGAUUGCACCACUGCAAUCCAGCCUAGGCAACAGAGUGAGACCCUGUCUCAA